CGCUGGGCUGUUCUUAAGACCCAGGCUGUGCAGGCGCUGGGCUCUGACGGCAGCCCUUCUGGUUCCACUGCAGGCCCUGGUUUGCCGCCGCUUCUCUUUGCAACAAGAGAGAAGUCAAGAGGGCCACUUAGUUGGGGGAAGAAGUUAGAGGAGGAAGAACCUUAGAGCUCAUGGUUUGUGCCUCACAAGGGCCGAGUCACUCAGCAAGCAGAGUUCAGGUUUGUGGGUUGCUGUCUGAGUUGUUCCUGGUGGCUCCUGGGUGCUGAGUGAGGAGGGGACCCAAGCCUCUUUUCUGAGAGCAAAGCUUAGUCUUUCCUUACAAAGAAGCUGGAGGGUGGGAACAACUUCAACAUGACAGGUUGUAGAGGUCUUAGUCUUCUCAGGAGAGGUGGCUCUGGAGGGAGGAGAAUGAACUAGCGCCGGAGCCCUGGAGUCUGCAUCCCAGCUCUUCUCCCUCCAGGUGGGGAUGCGGAUGCACCAAGCAAUGGGUGCCGUCACAGCCAGGCUUUCUAGAAAGCAUUGCUGCCCCAAAUUGGAGCUCAACUCCAGCUCAGGCAAAUGAUUAAAGGGUGGAUUGACGGAGAGUUUGGGUGCUCUGAGGGCCUAUGGACCACCCCCAAAUCCUUAUUUUCUCUCCCAGAGAAAUGGUACCCAUCAUGAUGGAGGGAGGCAAACAGGAUCAGGGACUCUGGAGCCCAGUUUCUAAAGACGCCUAAUAGAGGGCUUGUUUCAGUGGGGGCCACCUUGUCUUGAGAAAGCAAAAUGGCUCCCCACCCCACCCCCAAUCCUAAAGAGAAAGAAGGAAAACCCUGCCUUCCCUCGCAGCCUCUUCCCAUUCCCUGCACAGGAGCCGCGCCUGAACACAGCUGGGGCCAGAAGCUCUGGGAAGGGGAGGCAGGGAAAAGCUGCAGCCCCUGGCCACACUGGGGCCCAGAGCAGCCAAGAGGCAGGCCGAGGUGGGGAGAGCAGAGGCCGACCCUGCUCAGGACCAGCUGCACUAUUCCUGGGAGGGGGGGAGCCAAGGCACAGUCAGGCUCCGAGGGGCUGGGCAGGUUUGUGAGAGGCCCAGGGAGAAGGAAGGUAAGGCAGCAGGAUACUCCAGACCAUCUUCACCCAGACCAGAGGACAAUAAAAUGUCAAGGGACAGCAUUGUGGCCUUUGCUCACCAGGACAGUGGAUUGAAUGCUGCAUUUCCUCUGGGUGGGGGGUGGGUCUCCCCAGGGCCCCUCCACCCUAGCAGAGGCCUCUUGUUCAGAGACCACCCCUCACCCUCCAAGUCAGCCUGGCGCCUGAGCCUCAUCCGGUCGGGGCCUCUUUCCCCGGCCCCUUUCCAUAUUUCCUCUGCCUCAAGCAGGGGGAAAAAGUUUGGGAACAAAAGUUAGCUUAUGCUUUAGAGCGUCCCCCUCCUUCCGCCAGUACUUCUAGUUAUUCCUUUCCUGGGCAAAGAGCCAGCAGCCUGGAGAGGGCUGGGGUCAAAGAGGGUAUCACUGCUU
rnacentral:lncRNA from 1 species